UGGGGAAUAUUGCACAAUGGGCGCAAGCCUGAUGCAGCCAUGCCGCGUGUGUGAAGAAGGCCUCGGGUUGUAAAGCACUUUCAGCGAGGAGGAAGGUGGUGAACUUAAUACGUCAUCAAUUGACGUUACUCGCAGAAGAAGCACCGGCUAACUCCGUGCCAGCAGCCGCGGUAAUACGGAGGGUGCAAGCGUUAAUCGGAAUUACUGGGCGUAAAGCGCACGCAGGCGGUUUGUUAAGUCAGAUGUGAAAUCCCCGGGCUCAACCUGGGAACUGCAUUUGAAACUGGCAAGCUAGAGUCUCGUAGAGGGGGGUAGAAUUCCAGGUGUAGCGGUGAAAUGCGUAGAGAUCUGGAGGAAUACCGGUGGCGAAGGCGGCCCCCUGGACGAAGACUGACGCUCAGGUGCGAAAGCGUGGGGAGCAAACAGGAUUAGAUACCCCUGGUAGUCCACGCUGUAAAACGAUGUCGAUUUUGGAGGUUGUGCCCUUGAGGCGUGGCUUCCGGAGCUAACGCGUUAAAUCGACCGCCUGGGGAGUACGGCCGCAAGGUUAAAACUCAAAUGAAUUG
rnacentral:rRNA from 1 species